UGCUAGUCUUGGGUUAAACCAGGGCGAACAGCUCAGUAACACGUAGUUAACCUACCCUUAGAUUUGGAAUAAACCCGGGAAACUGGGCCUAAUGCUGGAUAGGUAAGAAUUCCUGGAACGGUUUCUUACUGAACUAAGGAUGGGACUGCGGCCCAUCAGGUUGUUGCGAAGGUAACGUCUUCGCAAGCCUAUAAUGGGUACGGGCCUUGAGAGAGGGAGCCCGGAGAUGGAUUCUGAGACAAGAAUCCAGAUUCUACGGAAUGCAGCAGUUGCGAAAAUUUCACAAUGCACGCAAGUGUGAUGAAGGGAUUCAGAGUGUCUUCUCUUACUGAGGAGGCUUUUGUUAAGGGUAGAUAUCUUAACGAAUAAGUGGUGGGUAAGACAGGUGCCAGCCGCCGCGGUAAUACCUGCGCCACGAGUGGUGACCACGUUUAUUGGGCUUAAAGCAUUCGUAGCCUGUUUGGUAAGUUUCUAAUGAAAUUUCACAGAUGACUGUGGAAAUUGUUAGAAAUACUACCAGACUUGAGACCGGGAGAGGCCGAGGGUAUUAUAGGGGUAGGGGUAAAAUCCUAUAAUCCCUAUAAGACCGCCUGUGGCGAAGGCGCUCGGCUAGAGCGGAUCUGACGGUGAGGGAUGAAAGCUAGGGGAGCAAAGCGGAUUAGAUACCCGCGUAGUCCUAGCUGUAAACGAUACCCACUAGACAUUGGCAGUCUUACGGGGGCUGUCAGAGUCGUAGGGAAACCGUUAAGUGGGUCGCCUGGGGAGUACGGUCGCAAGGCUGAAACUUAAGGGAAUUGGCGGGGGAGCACACAAGGGGUGGAGGCUGCGGUUUAAUUCGACUCAACGCGAGGAACCUUACCAGUGGCGACAGCAGAAUGAAGGUCAGGCUGAAGGUCUUACCAGACAAGCUGAGAGGAGCUGCAUGGCCGUCGUCAGUUCGUGCCGUGAGGUGUCAACUUAAGUGUUGUAACGAACAAGACCCGCACCCCAUGUUACUACGAUAUCCUUUUGGGUGUCGGUACUCAUGGGGGACCGCUGCUGAUAAAGUAGAGGAAGGGGCGGUCGACGGCAGGUCAGUAUGGUCUGAAUCCGCUGGGUAACACGCGGCCUACAAUGGUUGGUAUAAUGAGAUGCGACUCCGAAAGGAAGAGCUAAUCUCCAAAACCAAUCCUGGUCCGGAUCGAGGAUUGCAACCCAUCCUCGUGAAGACGAAAUCCCUAGUAGUCGCUGGUCAUUCAGCAGUUUAACGUUCGAAUGAACGUUAUUCUGGUGACUCAGC
rnacentral:rRNA from 1 species